rnacentral:lncRNA from 1 species
UUUCCCCCUUUUAUUUUAGCCAAAAUGAAAUCAAAUGAAAUGAAAUGAAAUGAAAUGGGAGACCCGAACAUCAGCCAUUUUUCCUGCGGGUGCAGUUCCGUUAACGGUUAUUAACUACGCACAACGCAGCGAGACGAAGAAGCUCGGAGUUAGGCGACAACAGCCCCAAACUCGUCGUCGCCUGCGUCAUCGGUGGCUGUACCAGUUACAUGGACUACAUUUCGAGAUGGGACCCCAAAACGACUCUCAUCGGAUCCGAUCUCCAUCGCCAUCUCCGUCCAACCAGUUAACCAGUCGUAAACCGGAACUGGCCCGCAUAACGCUCAACUUUUCUUCGAGUGGAGCUAGAUGGGCCAUUGUUGUUGCGGCGGCUGUAUUAGAUAGCAAAAGUCAGUCUGCGUCGAAGUCGGAGUCGGCAUAGAAAGUGAAACCACCGCGUUGGCCACACGAUCGUCGUUGCCAGGCGAACGGCAGCACAAAGGAGAGGGAACGAAGCCCGGCUCUAAGAUAUAAGCCAAACAACUAACUAUUACUCAAUCUGUGCUAAAAAGAAAAAUAGAGAUAGAUGAAUAGAUUCGCUGCAGCUAAAGUCGAGAUGUUGGAGCCACAACAAUGCGGAGCGGACGAAGUGGAACUGGAGUGUGAAAGAUGGAUUGGAUGACAACGGAAUCGAGAUGGAUUGAAACCGGGAUCUGGAGCUGGAGCUGAAGCUGAUUGGAGGUCCAAUCUGCCAAGCUUAAGCUCGAUCAUGUAACCCAACAUCGUAUCUGUGAUUAGUGUUGAUUCCAUUGAUAUCCAGUUACUUUGGCAUAUGAUUCAAUAUAUUCUGUUUGG